UACGUAGGCCGCAAGCGUUGUUCGGAGUUACUGGGCGUAAAGGGUGCGUAGGCGGCCUUAUAAGUAUGGUGUGAAAUCUCCCGGCUUAACUGGGAGGGUGCGCUAUAGACUGUGGGGCUAGAGUGUGGGAGAGGAAAGCGGAAUUCCUGGUGUAGCGGUGAAAUGCGUAGAUAUCAGGAGGAACACCUGCGGUGUAGACGGCUUUCUGGACCAUUGCUGACGCUGAGACACGAAAGCGUGGGUAGCAAACAGG
rnacentral:rRNA from 1 species